rnacentral:rRNA from 1 species
GUGCAGCAGGCGCGAAUACUUUACAAUGUGCGAAAGCACGAUAAGGGAACUCUGAGUGCCUCCUAAGGAGGCUGUUCAGGUGUCUAAAAGCACCUGAAGGAAGGGCUGGGUAAGACCGGUGCCAGCCGCCGCGGUAACACCGGCAGCCCAAGUGGUAGCCACGUUUAUUGGGUCUAAAGCGUCCGUAGCCGGCUGGGUAAGUUCCUUGGGAAAUUUGGCUGCUUAACAGUCAAGCUUUCAGGGAAUACUGCCCGGCUUGGGACCGGGAGAGGUCAGAGGUACUCCAGGGGUAGGGGUGAAAUCCAUUAAAUCCUUGGGGGACCACCGGUAGCGAAGGCGUCUGACCAGACCGGGUCGACGGUGAGGGACGAAGGCUAGGGGGCGCGAACCGGAUUAGAUA